AGCAUGGAGUUGGGGCUGAGCUGCAUUUUCCUUGUUGCUCUUUUAAAAGGUGUUCAAUGUGAGGUGCAGCUGGUGGAGUCUGGGGGUGGCCUGGUGAAGCAUGGAGGGUCCCUGAAACUCUCCUGUGUAGCCUCUAGAUUCACCUUCAGUGACUGCUGGAUGCACUGGGUCUGCUAGGAUCCCGGCAAGGGGCUGGCGUGGGUUGGAAAGAUUAAUGGAGGUGGCAGUACCACAAAUUAUGCACCAUCUGUGAAGGGCCGGUUCACCAUCUCCAGAGACAAUGCCAAGAACACUCUGUACCUGCAAAUGAACAGUGUGAAGUCUGAGGACACGGCCACUUAUUACUGUACUAGAGACACGGUGAGUGAUCUCAGUGUGAACCCAGACAUAAACCUCACUGUGAGGCCGCUCACGGCCACCAGGGGGCGCACAGCACACACAGAACACAGGUUCAUCCCACAGACUAUAAAGGCAUAA